GCGGCCUUCCACCACAAGCCUCCCCCGGCCGAGCUGUCCCUUCUGCUCUCGCCGGCGAGGAGCAAGCAUGCAAGAACGUGCCCGGCCGCCGACAACGACCGCGCGGCGCCCGCGGCACAGGAAGCAACAAACACGCCUCCGCCGCCGGCCGCGCCCAGCGCCAACGGCAGCCCGCCCCAGGAGCCGCCGAAGCGGGCGCCACUGACGGC
rnacentral:misc_RNA from 1 species